rnacentral:rRNA from 1 species
AAUGAACGCUGGCGGCGUGGUUAAGACAUGCAAGUCGAACGGUUUUCAUUGAAGGGCAACCGGAUAUGAAAGCAGUGGCGAACGGGUGCGUAACACGUGAACAAUCUACCUUCAAGUGGGGAAUAGCUCGCCGAAAGGCGAAUUAAUACCGCAUGUGGUCGGGGCUCGCAUGAGCCUUGAAACUAAAGUCAGGGAUCCCGNGCAAGCGGGACCUGACGCUCGAAGAGGAGUUCGCGGCCUAUCAGCUAGUUGGCGA